CUGCUGCCUUCCGUAGGAGUCUGGUCCGUGUCUCAGUACCAGUGUGGGGGACCUUCCUCUCAGAACCCCUAGACAUCGUCGCCUUGGUGGGCCGUUGCCCCGCCAACUAGCUAAUGUCACGCAUGCCCAUCCGUUGCCGGAAUCGCUCCCUUUGGCCGCAGGGCCAUGCAGCCCCGCGGCGUUACGCGGUAUUAGACGGGAUUUCUCCCGAUUAUCCCCCCUGCAACGGGCAGGUCGCAUACGCGUUACUCACCCGUGCCG
rnacentral:rRNA from 1 species